AAACUUGAAUUUCAGAUAUGCAAUGAAAAAUGUUUGGAUAAGUAUGUCCUAUGCAACACUCGAGAUAUAUUAAUACUUAUACUAAGAAAUUACUGUCCGGUCGUGGUGGCUCACGCCUGUAAUCCCAGCACUUUGGGAGGCCGAGGCAGGUGGAUCACCUGAGGUCAGGAGUUCGAGACCAGCCUGGCGAACACAGUAGAACCCCCAUCUCUACUAAAAAUACAAAAAAUUAGCUGGGCGUGGUGGCGGGCGCCUGUAGUCCCAGUUACUCAGGGGCUAAGGCAGGAGAAUCGCUUGAACCCAGGAGGCAGAGGUUGCAGUGAGCCGAGAUCACGCCAUUGUACUCCAGCCUGGGCAACUAGAGCGAAACUCCGCUUCAAAAAAAAAUUACUCGUGGGUUCUCUGCAUUCCAAUUUUAGUGGGCAUCUUGCGUGUUAUCUCUACCCCUAUUUGGGGAGGGCUUUAUUUUCCUCAAUGGCGUCCCCACAUCAGGGCCUGUGUCUUGCACUCUCCCCCUGAGCGGGUAGCAGAGGCGUUAUCACAGAAGGAAGGUUCUGGGGAGUUGAAUCACAACAGGCCUCCGCCGCUAGCAGGGCGGGCGCGCCAGGGACUAGGCCGCUUGGCAGGUUCGCUUUUCUUCUUUCCAUUGCGCUGAACUCAAGGAGGAGGAGGAAAGUGGGAGCUGCUGCACUCACGGCUGAGUGUGCAUGGCUGGUAGGUGACAGCCUGAGGUCUGUUCGGUGACCCCGGCCCCUCGGAGGGCCCGCGGAGACUCAGAAUUAGCUGCACCUACCACGGUGCCCGCGGGUCGGGGUGCGGAUCCACACCCCAGAGGAAGGCCGCUCCCGGGCCGCGAGGACCUCGCUGGCGGCCGCUUGGGGCAGCAGACGCCCGCCCUGCGGGGAGGUGGGGCCUGCAGGCCGCGGGGCCGCUCUCGGAGCCCGGCAGGCCUGAGCAGGUCGGGGCGCGUGUUCCGGAAGCCCGGCCCCGGGCGCUGUGAGGGGCACCUGGGGACGCUCCGCGAGUCUGUGUCCCAGCGUGAGCUCAGCGGAAGACUGCAGAGUCCUGGGCCCACGAGGCAGAAAACUCAGUCCCAGAAAGGAUCGGAGUGGUAUGGCAAAUCUGAGAUCGGACGGAGGCAGGAAACCAUGGUGACCUCUUAG
rnacentral:lncRNA from 1 species